GGGCCGCUGGUCUAGUGGUAUGAUUCUCGCUUAGGGCAUUUCCAAAACCCGAGUUUAAAGGCUUCAGCAGUUUCCUUCUGAACGCUUGCGAGAGGUCCCGGGUUCAAUCCCCGGGUGGCCCC